UGUGUCUGUGCAUGUUUGUCCAACCAGUAGACAAAGGCAUAAAAGACAGGUGCAAAAAUAAGUCCACUUUUGCAACCCAGAACUCAUUGUUCAGGGUGAGUUUAGAUAUAUAAAAGCAGGAAUAUG
ensembl:snoRNA